rnacentral:rRNA from 1 species
UUGGCGAACGGGUGGAGUAACGCGUGAAUAACCUGACUCAAAGAGGGGGGAGUAACAACGGGAAACUGUUGCUAAUACCGCAUGAGACCACAACACCGCAUGAUGAAGGGGUCAAAGAUUUAUCGCUUUGAGAGGGGUUCGCGUCCCAUUAGGUAGUUGGAGGGGUAACGGCCCACCAAGCCAACGAUGGGUAGCCGAGCUGAGAGGCUGAUCGGCCACACUGGAACUGAGACACGGUCCAG